GGCUGAAGGGGUGGGGGGCUUAUCAGGUGAGAAGAAAUGGGAGUAACUUGGCUUUCUGUAGGUGAAAGCAGAGGCUCAGUAAGGAAAAUGACUUUAAUAAGGAGAUGCUGAAGAGGAAGAAGAAACGCAAAAGUAACGCUGAUGUGGACAAGCAUAAAUGACCAGCUUUUGCAAUCACAGGAUACAGCCUUUGUGUUGUGAGAAAUGCAGAGGUCUGGACCUGCAGACACGCACUGUCUGCUCAGUCUGGGAAGGGAAGGCAUGCCUGGAGCUGGCUGAAUGCAUCAGAGGACACAAACUGUGGUCUAACCCUUGCUUUCUUGUGGCUGAGAGGAGUUCUGGCUGUCUCAGCUGUGUGAUGGAUCUGGGGAAGGUGAUGGCAAUGUUCAUUGCUAAAGUAAAAAACAGAAGAAAAAAAAGGAGAGAGAAAACAAG
ensembl:lncRNA